AUGGAGCAGAUAAUGGAGAUGUUACCUAAAAAAUUGAUAGCCAAGUUGAAAAAUUGCAAGGACCCUGCUUUGCGCCAUAUUUUUAAGGAAGUAACAAAGAAGAAUGAGGUUUUGACUCUGUCCAGGUUUCGCUAUCCACGGUCGAGGCCGCUCAGACACUGGAUCCUUCUUGCAAGAAGGUCUGUGUAUGAGUCAUUCAAAAAUGCCUUGCAACAGAUGGAACACUUUUACCCCGGUGCAUAUUUCGAGGAAGCAGGUCCUUCCUGA